AGCGAACGUUAGCGGCGCGCCUAACACAUGCAAGUCGCACGAGGUAGCAAUACCUAGUGGCGCACGGGUNCGUAACACGUAGAUAAUCUGCCCUUCAGCGGGGGAUAACGUUCCGAAAGGAGCGCUAAUACCGCAUACAGCAUUUGGUGGUUCGCCACUGGAUGGCAAAGGCUGGGAUCUUCGGACCAGUCACUGAAGGAGGAGUCUGCGGCCCAUCAGCUAGUUGGGGAGGUAAUGGCUCACCAAGGCAAAGACGGGUAGCUGGUCUGAGAGGAUGAUCAGCCACACUGGUACUGGAACACGGACCAGGACUCCUACGGGAGGCAGCAGUGGGGAAUCUUGGUCAAUGGGCGCAAGCCUGAACCAGCGACGCCGCGUGAGUGAUGAA
rnacentral:rRNA from 1 species